AUUGAACGCUGGCGGCAUGCCUUACACAUGCAAGUCGAACGGCAGCACGGGGCAACCUGGUGGCGAGUGGCGAACGGGUGAGUAAUGCAUCGGAACGUACCUUUCAGUGGGGGAUAACGUAGCGAAAGUACGCUAAUACCGCAUAUUCUGUGAGCAGGAAAGCAGGGGAUCGCAAGACCUUGCGCUGAUUGAGCGGCCGAUGUCAGAUCAGCUAGUUGGUGAGGUAAAGGCUCACCAAGGCGACGAUCUGUAGCGGGUCUGAGAGGAUGAUCCGCCACACUGGAACUGAGACACGGUCCAGACUCCUACGGGAGGCAGCAGUGGGGAAUUUUGGACAAUGGGGGCAACCCUGAUCCAGCCAUGCCGCGUGAGUGAAGAAGGCCUUCGGGUUGUAAAGCUCUUUCGGCCGGGAAGAAAUCGCACGGGCUAAUACCCUGUGUGGAUGACGGUACCGGAAUAAGAAGCACCGGCUAACUACGUGCAGCAGCCGCCGUAAAAC
rnacentral:rRNA from 1 species